AAGCGUUGUUCGGAUUUAUUGGGCGUAAAGCGCGUGUAGGCGGUUUCUUAAGUCUGAUGUGAAAGCCCUGGGCUCAACCCAGGAAGUGCAUUGGAUACUGGGAAACUUGAAUACGGGAGAGGGUAGUGGAAUUCCUAGUGUAGGAGUGAAAUCCGUAGAUAUUAGGAGGAACACCGGUGGCGAAGGCGGCUACCUGGACCGAUAUUGACGCUGAGACGCGAAAGCGUGGGGAGCAAACAGGAUUAGAUACCCUGGUAGUCCACGCCGUAAACGAUGAGAACUAGGUGUUGCGGGUAUUGACCCCUGCAGUGCC
rnacentral:rRNA from 1 species